rnacentral:lncRNA from 1 species
GUGACACCGGUUGCGACAGAUAGCGACUCCACUGGGGACGCGAGAGUCAGGUCAUUUAAUUAGAUGCGCGAAUUCGAUGUGGUUUUGCUUUAUGUUUUUCUUCCCUUUUUCUUUAUCUAUGUUCGAAAUAAUUGUUGUACAUUGAACCCUAUGGUAGAAAACAUGUUAUAUCUGCUUGGGAAUCUUCUGGUUGUUUUGCAGGUGAGGGUUUGGGUGUGCAUGGUGUUCUCCCUUCACACACACUUUAUGCAUAUCAUGAGUGGGGCCCUAUACCCGGGUCUGAGCGUAGCCUAGAAAUAGAGGGGUUGUGUAGCGGUAUCAUUUGGGAUAUUGUUCCUGUUUGGCUAUCGUGAGAACCCCAGCUAGAGUUUGUUCUCUUCAUUUGUCUCUCUGCAUCUAGUUGAUUGCUCGACUGUUGUGGAGAUACUAUGAAGGGGGUCAUAGCUCUAGUGACCAUUGACCUCUAGGUUCAGGGAGUCAUCCUUGUGAGAUUGCAUAUAUUUGACCUUGAAAUGUUGAACCUUCUCUAGGGCACAAAGGGAGAUGUGUGCAG